ACUCCUACGGGAGGCAGCAGUGGGGAAUUUUGGACAAUGGGCGAAAGCCUGAUCCAGCAAUACCGCGUGCAGGAAGAAGGCCCUCGGGUUGUAAACUGCUUUUGUACGGAACGAAAGGUCCUGGCUAAUAUCUGGGGCUGAUGACGGUACCGUAAGAAUAAGCACCGGCUAACUACGUGCCAGCAGCCGCGGUAAUACGUAGGGUGCAAGCGUUAAUCGGAAUUACUGGGCGUAAAGCGUGCGCAGGCGGCUGUGUAAGACAGGUGUGAAAUCCCCGAGCUCAACUUGGGAAUUGCACUUGUGACUGCAUAGCGUAGAGUACGGCAGAGGGGGAUGGAAUUCCGCGUGUAGCAGUGAAAUGCGUAGAUAUGCGGAGGAACACCGAUGGCGAAGGCAGUCCCCUGGGCCCUGUAACUGGACGCUCAUGCACGAAAGCGUGGGGAGCAAACAGGAUUAGAUACCCUGGUAGCUAGCGA
rnacentral:rRNA from 1 species